UCACUUUCUCACUUAGUUGUAUGCAUGUGCAUUACAAAUGGGCCUUAUGCUCUGUCACACAUAUAUGCGCACACAGUGAGGCCAUUGUAAGUUCAUAGAUGUUAAACAGAUAGUGAGACUCCUUCUGCUUAUCAGGGAUCUAAAUCUUUAGGUGACGGCCAAGCAGAAAACAAACUGUGAGGGAGAAGGGUUUCAGGAUGGGGCUGAUGGUAUAGCCCCCCUGUGAGUUUGGCCAACAUGCAAGAGGAAAAAAAAGAAAAAAGUGGAGACAGCUUGUUGAUGCUGCCUCAUGUCAAAGUACCAUCUGCUUUAUUGGAAUCCAGCAGAGGGCAGUGUUUUGCCGUCAACAGAUGACUUUCUGAAGCUUCAACUGUGUCUUCAGAUUGGAUUGUGUUGUAAUUUGUUGUCUGUGUGAUACUAAAAAUAUAAUGGGAUUUUGAAGCUCUUCUGAAUCUUCACCACGCGUUGCUCAAAUGCUACUGAUAUAAACUCACAAUAUAUCCAGAUUGACUGGAUAUACACAGUCUGUGCUAAGAUAAUUACACACAGAAACAAUAUUAUUACAUCAGUCAUGUAUAUUGGCAGUAAAUGAUAGGGAGGAGAAAGGAGGAAACAAAAGUCAAUUACAAAAUUAAUGGGGCUGCUUUGAGCCAUAUC